AGAGAUCCGACCACCACGGAAACACCCAUGCUGAAGAUCAAACAGAGGCUGCGAUUAGACCCACCCAAACUGGAUGAUGUCGGAAGACGGGUUGUAGCUGCUGGUCGGGGUGGUCAUUGUAUUCUUCUUGCAAUGCCGAGCACGCUUCCAAACUGGGACGAUUCUGCUGUCCAACAGAGACCACUGAAAAAUUUGGUGACAUAUUUGCGCCAGAAAGAGGCUGCUGGAGUGAUCUCUCUUCCUCCUUAUGAGACGAAAGACAAGGACAACGUGGGUGUUCUUUAUGCUUUUCCUCCUUGUGCAUUCGGAUACGAGUACCUGAGGAAGGCAGCACCCAGAUUACCAGCAGAACCAAUUCAAGAUGAUUACCUUAUCGUUGUAGUCAUAAGAGGGACUGUAUAAAGUGCUUUUGAAGCAAUUGUAGAUCGAAUGAUUUUAAAAAUCAGUAGAAGAUAAUUUAUAGCCCUUUUAAAAAAAAAAAAAUUAUGUAAUGUUGUGUGUGUUGACGAUAUUGCAGCUGUAGAUAAAAUACUGCCAUUUUGCACACUUGAGUGAUUUAUUUGAUGGUUAAUAUUUUUGAAAACUUUUCUCUUUUUUAGCAACUAUAUUUGACAUAGAUUAUACUUUAACAUUUGUACAAUGCAUUGGUUCUCUUUUUUAUCUGUUGAGAAGAAAUUUAAAUCAAUCAAAUUACUUUCAUUUUAAGAAAACAUCAUCAAUGUAAGUUGUUUACUUAAUUUUGUCUAUUAUAAAAAGAUUUUUCAGUUUGAUUUACAUCAUGUUGGAAACAAAUUUGCAAAUCCACUACAAAGAAAUGUUGCAUUCUUUGAGAAAUGGUCUAGGUUUAAUUUAUUGAAUAUAUUUAAAGAGGUGCUGAAAAAAAUAUUGGUGUACAUUUAUUAUGUAUAUUGUGAAAAUAUUUAGUAAAGAAACAUAAUUGUACAUAGAUUUAGUAUAUUUACCGUCAAGAUUGCAAGGAGAAAAGGGACAUGUUAGGAUUUCAAUACAAUAUUUUAGCAUAUUUUUUAAAAAUAAGCAGACAAAUACAUGUAGUUUAUGAUAAUUUUAUUUAAUGUGAUUGUCUCUUGAGAAUGAGUGUGUGCGUGUAUGUAUAUAUGUGAUAUCAGACAUACUGGUUUCAUCUCUGUAAUACCAUUGCGAGACUUGUGGUUUCUUUUUAGCAUUUGUUGACUCUUGCUGCCAAAAAGAUUUCUAUACAGAAGGAGCCCACAAAAAUUAUCAAACAGGGAGGAAAUGAAUUCAAAAUGGGAGAAAUCUUUUGGAUAAUGGAAUUAAUGUGCAAUAGUUGAUGGUGGAACGUUUAGACUUUAUAUGCUGAAUAUCUCGAUGAUGUGUGAAUGUUUAUAAACAAUUUUGUGUGUUGUGAAUAGAUAAUAAUAUUGUAGAUUUUUUGUUUAUUAAAAAAGAAGUGAUUCUUGGACAGUUCAGCACUCUAUAUUGGAUGUGAAAUAUGAUAAAAUCUCGGAUGUGAUGAUGUGUUGAGUGAAUUCACAAUCAUCUGGAAAUGUGUGCAUGAUGGACAAAUAUUGGCCAUGUCUAAGAGACAGCCAUUUUUUCCCGGAAUAUAUCCUGUUCUGUUAAAUAAUCUACAUCUGAUGCUUUCAGUGAUGUGUUUUGUGUGCAUUUAUUUUGCAACCCCAUAUGAUAUAGUUAGUAGCAAGAAAAAUAAACCUUGUGAAA
rnacentral:misc_RNA from 1 species